AGAGAGGACAUUCUAGUUAGUAAGGGAAAGGUCAAGAAAGUCUCAAAGGUGGAUUGCUGAAUGGCAAAUAUUAACAAGUGAAUACAAAUAAGAAAAUCACCAGCUGGGAAUGGGUUUGCUUUUGAUCUGCCAUAUACCUCCUGUAAAUGCUCCAGAUGAUGAUCUGUCCCAUAUGUUGCCUUCUCAGGGUCCUGUCUGAAGGAGCUUUGCCAUCCCCUGCAAUGGAAAUCAGAGCAAGUUCUCAAUUAUUUCUUAUUCUGCUCCCUAUGCAUUAUCAUAUCCUCUGAGGGAUGGAAUUAUCAGUUACUCUUCUGCAGAGAAAUGAAGGACCCUCUCGUCGAGAUGUGUGAGCCCGAUGGGCAGAGGGUUUUGGCAUCGUCUUCUCACUCCUUCCUCUCCCACCCCAGCCUGCCUCCGACCGCCUGCCAGAGCCGGACUGAGCACCGCUUAGCACAGGGGGAGAGCGGCUCUGCCUUGCUGGGGAAACAAAAAUACCAGGGAUGUCCCUUCUCAUUUGCAAAGGGGAACUCCAGUCUGGCUGACCUGCUUCAUGGAGAGGGGGCGAGCAGUGAUGGCUCCCCCACCCCAUUCACACACACACACACACACACACACGCUUCGCAGCAACAAGCUGCAGUCUGCUCAAAGCGGCCGCUUUCCGUCCACCGCCAUCCAAACUAUUUCCCCCUUCCCUUUGACCAAACAAAGAAGAUUUUUGUGUUUGUGUUGGCCGAGGGAUCUCUGCUCGCAGGAAACUUUCUGCCCGGAGAAAGCGGGGCUGGGGCGUGCCGGGUGGAUGCAGGGAGAUCUGAAGAAUGUAGUGCUCUCUCUGCUGCAGCAGGGCCACGAGCUUGUCAGCUGGGUUUUGAAGAGAAAGCUCUCCACACUGAUUUCUGCUUUAAACACACACUUCCCCCAAAAGUCG
rnacentral:lncRNA from 1 species